CAGGAUGCACCAUCUUUGGCACCCUUGUCCAUGUGUGCACACUAACAAAAGCUGGAUGCACCACUGGUUGGUUCUUGUAGGUUCUUCUGAGUUGCUAUGUAAUGUUGAACAGAGCCCAGGGUGUCAUAGGGAGCUGGUGUUCCACAUUGUGACCUCAUCAGCUCCCUGUUGCCAGUGAAUAUAAAGUCUUGGCAUCCAUCCACCUUCUUUUCUAAAGCCCUCUGAUAGGGCUGAGAAAGAGUAUCUCACAGGAGUCCUUCAGCCGAAACUACAUGUCUUAAAAAACCUGAACCCACAGGAAACUUCUCUUUUUCUCCUGGCCCUGAGUUUUUCUAGAAAACUGUUGCACUCUGGCAAAAGGACUAAGGCCAAUAGCCAAGAUCCUCAGGAGAAGAAGUGAUAGUGGGUGUAUUACUGUGGCCAGAAAUAGAGGAGGCAUGUGAUCUGAGUUAUCCUACACAAGAACAGAAUCAAAUUAUAAUUGUUUAUUCAACAGCACAAGCAGACUAAAUCAUUACCAUGAGAUGGGACAAUACAGGAGAUGAGACCAAUUACACUUUUUGAGGCUGCAGACUUGCAGGCAAGUGUGCAUUGAGACUGGGCCAGCACCGGACACCGUGCAGCCACUGGAUUCCUCGCCAGCCAGCGCAUCUUGCUCCAGGCGGCCAGCUCACCUCCCUAGCACUGAAUUAGAAUUGAGCACCUCUGCAUCAGGAUGUCUGAAUGCUUCAGAACCUGCCCCUUUCCCUACUGGGUUUCUCCUUCUAAUUACUUCCCUUGUUUCCCUCUGGAUACUCAUUUAAAUGCUAAAUAAAGGGAGAGAGUUCUCCAGGGCUGGAGGCUCAGCAUUGUAACCUGGAGCAACCUCAGGGUGAAAUUAAAAUCUAUUAGACCCCAUGUGAGUAUAAUUAUAGUAAGAGAAUGAGUAGGAAUAGAAAACGAUCAUCUUCUGGGAAACAAACAUACUUUGUUACAGGAGUGAGUGUGACAGGGAUUGCUUAGCGCUUGUUCAGAAUGGUGCUGGAGUUCAGUUCUGAGACCCAUUGCGCGAGGCUUGCGGAGAAGAGGGUGGGUGGGUGACAAGGCAGGAACGGUGUGUUCUGAGGAGGUUAUUCUUCAGCUGGGAGGACACAGGUGACUGCACUGUGCAUGUGGAAGGCUUGGUGUGUGGCAGCAGUGUUACUGCAGAGGCCAGCACAAGGUGGACAGCCUGGAGGGGCCUGUGGUCAGCAAGGGUCUGCUCUGACAGUGGCCUGGGCUGCUGUCACUGCCUUUGCUGGAAGUCUCCAGGUCCAUGACUGCUGUCCUGCAUUUGGAGCUCAGGCCAGGGCUAGUGCCAGACCUUGAGUGGCUACUCCACCGCCCAGAAUAACCGGACCAACAGAGGUCUGUCUGUCAGACACCCUAGAAAAGAGGCCUACCAGAGGGCUUCUGUGCGACUGUGGCCUCAGCGAGGUGGACAGGGGUUGGGCUGGCAGCGGGGGAGAUGAAGGAUGAUGCCAGAAGCAUCUUCCAGCUCUGUGCUUGGGGAGAGGCAGGCAGACUGCAGAGCUCCCUCUACAGCCCACACGGGGAGCAGCGCGUCAGUCUGCACCCCCAACCCUCCAAACCCCUGCAUUCCCAGAACCACCUGGCUGGGAUCAAUGCAUCUCAAAGUCUUCAGCAGAUCACCUGGCUCAGAACAUCACCCAGAAGGCAGAAGGUGUAUGGCUACAAAGAUGUCUGAGCCAUGCCACACAUCUAGAAAUUGGGAUGGCAGGAAGGGGGGCGGGCAGCAAAUUGCAUUUUAAACAAAUUGUCCAUGGGCAUGCAUAGUAAACUUGAGAGAUUAUAACCUGGGGGUUGUUACACAGUCAUUUGGUAAGCAGGGGCACCAACAGGCUCUGGAACUCCACUUUUCCUUCACUUUGCUGUUAAUCCCGAGGGGUCUCUCUUUUCAUCUCUCUAUCUCUCUGUGUCUCUGUCUCUCUCUCUGUCCCUCCUUCUCUGUCCCCCUGAACCAGGCCAGGCAGUAUGGUGGAUGCAGGAAACUAAAUAUGACUAGCACAUGGGCCUUGACUUCAAGGACCAAAUAUUUGCCCUAGUGGAGAAGAUAGACAUCUGAACAAAUAUUCACAAAAUACUCUGUGCUUUGGGAGCAGUAAAGGUAGGUUCAAAGUGUUCUGGGAACACGAUAGAAGAAGCAAUAAACUCAGAGAAGCCAGUGGGAGUUACUCCAAGGUCAAGGUCAGAAAGAAUCUUCAAAGAAGUGACAUUGAGAUGGGCCUUGAAGG